GACGUAGGUGGCGAACGUUAUCCGGAAUUACUGGGCGUAAAGCGUGCGUAGACGGUUAUUUAAGUCGGGUGUGAAAGCCCCGGGCUCAACCUGGGAAUUGCAUUCGAGACUGAAUAGCUAGGGUACGGUAGAGGGAAGUGGAAUUUCCGGUGUAGCGGUGAAAUGCGUAGAUAUCGGAAGGAACAUCAGUGGCGAAAGCGACUUCCUGGACCAGUACCGACGUCAGGCACGAAAGCGUGGGGAGCAAACAGG
rnacentral:rRNA from 1 species